rnacentral:rRNA from 1 species
UACGAAGGGGGCUAGCGUUGUUCGGAAUUACUGGGCGUAAAGCGCACGUAGGCGGACUAUUAAGUCAGAUGUGAAAGCCCGGGGCUCAACCUCGGAACUGCAUUUGAAACUGUUAGUCUAGAGGUCAGGAGAGGUUCGUGGAAUGCCGAGUGUAGAGGUGAAAUUCGUAGAUAUUCGGUGGAACACCAGUGGCGAAGGCGACGAACUGGACUGAUACUGACGCUGAGGUGCGAAAGUGUGGGGAGCAAACAGG